CAAAUGACUCUCGGCAACGGAUAUCUCGGCUCACGCAUCGAUGAAGAACGUAGCAAAAUGCGAUACUUGGUGUGAAUUGCAGAAUCCCGUGAACCAUCGAGUUUUUGAACGCAAGUUGCGCCCGAAGUCAUCCGGCUGAGGGCACGCCUGCCUGGGCGUCACGC
rnacentral:rRNA from 1 species